ensembl:ncRNA F13D11.12 ncRNA
UCUUUUUGGUCAGUCCCAACUCUAAAACUCUAAUUUGCACUCUCCUGUCCCACUGCUUCUCACUGUUAGCACUCGCGCACUGACAGGAUAGCCACGCCCCAAGAGUUGAGGUGUUUUUGAUUGGUUGCCUUGUUCCCGAAAUAUUGGCAACAUAACAGGUUUAGGAAAUAUUCGGUUUGUAAUGGAACAGGAUGAUGAAUGUUUUCCAAGAUAAAUGUUUCGAAACACUAUUUUUGAGGAUUAAAAGAUUGUGAAAUUUUGAAAACGC